ensembl:scaRNA
GUGGAAGUCCUCAUGGUUGUGGCACUGAGCGGUGCGCUACAUCCGGUACUCCUCCACACAGAGCGAGGCUGGUUCCUGCCGACAGGGCCUGUAAAGGCGUUGGUCUCCCUGUGCGAUGGUUCCAUACACU